GGAUUCUGGCUUAGUGGUAGAGCCUUUGCCUAGCAAGUUCAAGGCCCUGGGUUCCAUCCUCAGCACCA
rnacentral:tRNA from 1 species